rnacentral:rRNA from 1 species
AACGAACGCUGGCGGCAUGCCUAACACAUGCAAGUCGAACGAGACCUUCGGGUCUAGUGGCGCACGGGUGCGUAACGCGUGGGAACCUGCCCUUAGGUUCGGAAUAACUCCCCGAAAGGGGUGCUAAUACCGGAUAAUGUCUUCGGACCAAAGAUUUAUCGCCUUUGGAUGGGCCCGCGUUGGAUUAGCUAGUUGGUAGGGUAAAAGCCUACCAAGGCGACGAUCCAUAGCUGGUCUGAGAGGAUGAUCAGCCACACUGGGACUGAGACACGGCCCAGACUCCUACGGGAGGAAGCAGUGGGGAAUAUUGGACAAUGGGCGAAAGCCUGAUCCAGCAAUGCCGCGUGAGUGAUGAAGGCCUUAGGGUUGUAAAGCUCUUUUACCCGGGAGGAUAAUGACAGUACCGGGAGAAUAAGCGCCGGCUAACUCCGUG